AUGGAAACCACACUACAAACUAGAGCUGAGAGCUGGCAAAACAAAACAUUGCAUGGAAAGUUCCUUGACAAAAUUGAAGGAAAAGCUGAUAAGGAGAAGACCUGUCUCUGGCUCACGAAUGGGACCCUGAAGAAGGAGACAGAAGGCCUGAUCCUUGCAGCCCAGGAGCAAGACAUCAGGACAAAGGCAAUUCAGGCCAAGAUCGAAAAAUCAGCUGAUGACCCAAAAUGCAGACUGUGCAAGGAAGCUGACAAAACCAUUGAUCAUAUCCUCAGCUGCUGUAAGAAAAUCGCACAGACAGACUACAAACAGAGGCACAACUGUGUGGCCCAAAUGAUUCAUUGGAACUUAUGCCUCAAGUACCACCUCCCAGCAGCAAAGAACUGGUGGGAUCACAAACCUGCAAAAGUAUUGGAAAAUGAGCACGCAGAGAUACUGUGGGACUUCCGAAUCCAGACUGACAAAGUUCUGGAACACAACACACCAGACAUCACAGUUGUGGAAAAGAACAAGGUUUGGAUCAUUGAUGUUGCCAUCCCAGGUGACAGUCGCAUUGACGAAAAACAACAGGAAAAACUCAGCCGCUAUCAGGACCUCAAGAUUGAACUUCAAAGACUCUGGCAGAAACCAGUGCAGGUGGUCCCGGUGGUGAUGGGCACACUGGGUGCCGUGCCAAAAGAUCUCAGCCGGCAUUUGGAAACUAUAGACACUGACAAAAUUACGAUCUGCCAACUGCAAAAGGCCACCCGACUGGGAUCUGCACGCAUCAUCCGAAAAUACAUCACACGGUCCUAGACGCUUGGGAAGUGUUCGACUUGUGAUUUUGUGAUACGAAAUCCAGCAUGUCUAUCUUGUUUGCUGUGUCAUACAAUGUCCUUGUGUCAAUAAUAAUAAUAAUAAUAAUAAUAAUAAUAAUAAUCUUUACCUAUUCUGCCAGAGCUGCUGCUGCUGCUGCUGCUUCUUCUUCUUCUUCUUCUUCUUCUUCUUCUUCUUCUUCUUCUUCUUAUUAUUAUUAUUAUUAUUAUUAUUAUUAUUAUUAUUACCUGUAUUAUUUUACUCUGUUAUUAUUAAAAGGAUACAUAAGCACAUUUACAUUGAAGAAGAUGAGAAUAAUGAUUUAAUCAGAGUUGGACAGUCUUAUCUUAAAUUAGAGCUUGAUGUAAAUAUUCAAAAACAUUAAACCUACUGAUUCCUCAAUUAAUGUAAUUUUAUUGGUAUCUGUUUUUAUUUCUGAAAUUUACCACUCUUGGCUUAUACUGGAGUCAAUGUUUUCCCAGAUUUUUGGGGUAAAAUUAGGUGCCUAGGCUUAUAUUUGGGUCGGCUUAUAUUCGAGUAUAAACAGUACGUCAUUUCAGUGAACAUAGAAAUACCAUUUGAAUCUCCUUUAUGCAGAAAUCCAAAGACUUCCUAAAUUGAAACUUUUUGAUGCACUUCCGAGGUGACCGCGAUGGCCUCCUCGUCAUUCUUUUUGCAGCUUUCGAGGCGGCAGCUAAAGCUCUCCUUCUGGUUCGUCCACUUUUGGGUUUUCCAGGGCGUGAUAUCACAUUCCAAACAAUUAAUCUCAUUUACCAAGUCUCUUUCCAAUUCCAUCUUGCUCUUGUUCAGACUGUCGAAAGUACAACAACGUUUAGGCUGCAUUGUUCCAGGUUAGGACCUUCCGAGGGAGGCUAAACACCAAAGUGCUCUCCGGAUUGUGCCUUUCUUUGAAGAGAAGUUCAUUUUGAUUCCGACGUGUAUGCUUUUCAUGUAAAAAAAAAGAAAAGUCCAUUGUUGUGGCUUUUUCAAAGUUUCCUUUGCUGCCAGCUCCCACGGCUGAAGACUAAGCAGGAAACUACAGUACAUCAUUCAUCAAACAAUGUGGAACAAAUUACACAUGCCCUCAUUAGCAAUUACCUGAGAAACCUUCCUUCAGCCUACCUCACAGAGUAAUGACAGUUAAUAAUGGGUUCCAUGACAUGGCCGACCUAUGAAUGGCGUCUCACAGAGCUGUUCAGUAACCUUUUAAAACAUAAUUAUGCCUACUUUUGCAUCGAACACUAUUAUUUUAGAGGAUGUGAAGUACAUAGAGAUCAUUUUCAGGUGUGUCAUCCCAACCUAUGGUAGUCUAUAGUAGUCUCUUGAUUGCCAAGAGAGCCAUGGGUUCACAUAGAUGAAUCUCAAAUGGCAUGAAGUAGUUCAGAAGAAGGACCUGGGUAUUCCUUGCAUAGGAAAACACUCCUCAAGACUUCUUCGUCUUCUCCAUAUGCC
ensembl:lncRNA